rnacentral:rRNA from 1 species
UACGUAGGGGGCAAGCGUUGUCCGGAUUUAUUGGGCGUAAAGCGCGUGUAGGCGGCCAGGUAGGUCUGCUGUGAAAACUCGAGGCUCAACCUCGAGAUGUCGGCGGAAACCCUCUGGCUAGAGUCCGGAAGAGGAGAGUGGAAUUCCCGGUGUAGCGGUGAAAUGCGCAGAUAUCGGGAAGAACACCCGUGGCGAAGGCGGCUCUCUGGGACGGUACUGACGCAUGAGACG